rnacentral:rRNA from 1 species
UAGGGAAUCUUCGGCAAUGGACGAAAGUCUGACCGAGCAACGCCGCGUGAGUGAAGAAGGUUUUCGGAUCGUAAAACUCUGUUGUUAGAGAAGAACAAGGACGUUAGUAACUGAACGUCCCCUGACGGUAUCUAACCAGAAAGCCACGGCUAACUACGUGCCAGCAGCCGCGGUAAUACGUAGGUGGCAAGCGUUGUCCGGAUUUAUUGGGCGUAAAGCGAGCGCAGGCGGUUUCUUAAGUCUGAUGUGAAAGCCCCCGGCUCAACCGGGGAGGGUCAUUGGAAACUGGGGGACUUGAGUGCAGAAGAGGGGAGUGGAAUUCCAUGUGUAGCGGUGAAAUGCGUAGAUAUAUGGGGGAACACCAGUGGCGAAGGCGGCUCUCUGGUCUGUAACUGACGCUGAGGCUCGAAAGCGUGGGGAGCAAACAGG